rnacentral:rRNA from 1 species
CCUUCCGUAGGGUGAACCUGCGGAAGGAUCAUUACCGAGUGAGGGCCCUUUGGGUCCAACCUCCCACCCGUGUUUAUUUUACCUUGUUGCUUCGGCGGGCCCGCCUUUACUGGCCGCCGGGGGGCUCACGCCCCCGGGCCCGCGCCCGCCGAAGACACCCCCGAACUCUGUCUGAAGAUUGAAGUCUGAGUGAAAAUAUAAAUUAUUUAAAACUUUCAACAACGGAUCUCUUGGUUCCGGCAUCGAUGAAGAACGCAGCGAAAUGCGAUACGUAAUGUGAAUUGCAAAUUCAGUGAAUCAUCGAGUCUUUGAACGCACAUUGCGCCCCCUGGUAUUCCGGGGGGCAUGCCUGUCCGAGCGUCAUUGCUGCCCUCAAGCCCGGCUUGUGUGUUGGGCCCCGUCCUCCGAUUCCGGGGGACGGGCCCGAAAGGCAGCGGCGGCACCGCGUCCGGUCCUCGAGCGUAUGGGGCUUUGUCACCCGCUCUGUAGGCCCGGCCGGCGCUUGCCGAUCAACCCAAAUUUUUAUCCAGGUUGACCUCGGAUCAGGUAGGGAUACCCGCAUGAACUUAAGCAUAUCAAUAAGCGGAGGAA